GCCACACAGGAGGCAUAAAGGAAAUGCAGCAGCAAAACCUCAACGUGUUUUACAACAGCCUCUUCAAUUGCUUAGCACCCAUGUCUGACAUUUCACACCUAAGCCCUCCAGCUGGAUGGGAGGAAAAAGCCUUUCAGUGGAUUACAGCUCCUAAAAGGCUGAUUAUCACACACCCCAGGCUUUGAUCCAGACCUUCCCCAGCCUCUCAGGGGAAAGGCUCCCCAAAGAGCCUUCUCUCCCAGAUGCAGGUGUCGUGUCUGGUGUCACCAACAUGACUGUGCACACGCUGCUGGCUCCCUCAGCAUGAGCUCCAGAAAUCCCAGCACAAAGCAGUACCUUGGCAUCAUAGCAAAGAGCUCCUGGAUCCCCCUGGAAAAGCAAAAGGAAAGAAAUGGGAGUAAAGAAAGGGCUGGUGGUAGGGCAGGAGGGUCUGAUAUUUUUCCUGAUCCAGAUUCCCUAUGCCCUUGUUAGGAGGCUGGAAGCUGCUGUUUAGUCAGAGCUGUCGGCCAGCAGUGCUGGCAGGAGAUGGAUGAGCUGUGGGGUGGCUCUGCAGAAGGUGCUGCGGAGCCAUGCUGCCCUAGGGAGCAGCUUGGGGAAAAGGCAGCAGGAGAAGGCUGAGGCAGGACUGAAAUGCCAGGGAAGGGCCUGUCUGACACAGCUGUGCACAAGGGCCAAGUGCAUGGGGCUGCUCAAAGAGCCAGGGACAGCAGAGCUCUGGGAUAUCUUCAGGCUGAGCUGACAGCUUGGCUCUGGGGGGUCUUGGGACCUGCCCUUGUGCCUCAGGAUCUUGAUCCUGUCUCCUGCAAGGUGCUGAUGGGCCCUUGGUUGUAGUCCCAGUCAUCCACUGGGGCUGUUUGAAGAGAAGGGAGAUGUGUCCUCCAGCACGACCCAGCAGGACCCCACCACAUGCCUGCUGCCAAACCUUUAUCCCAAACUCCAGCAUCUCAAGGCAAACCCACAAGACAAAGAUGCUGAAAGUUCUGCUUUAUUUUUUGGAAUGCAACAUUAAUUAUGAAUUUACUUUGACAUUCACUGCACUCCUAGUGUCAAGGAUGUGAUUUCCUCCUGCCCUGGACUUGGGUACAAUCCUGCCACAGCUCUGAUGCAAAUCUGGAGGUUGCUUUAUUGCUUCCCUGUGAUCACUCUCAAGACAUCUGACCCUGCCUUUCUCAGCUGUGCAAUGAUGCUCUUGUCACACUGCUGCUCUUUGCAGGACAUCUGCAGCUGCCCUGAUGCAAGCCCAAAGGAGUCACUGAUCAGUGGCAGUGUAAUUGUGCUCCAUGAAUUGCCACUGAAGUGCCUGGGCUCUUUUGUGUGGCUGUUUCUGAAGGGGAGGAUUGACUUUGUUUACACCAGAUGUUCAGAGGCUUUGCCCUGUCAGUGUCCCCAGUCUGUUCUGGCCAGGAGAAGACCUCCUGCAUGGACACUUCCUAGGAGAAUCCCGGGUGAACGUGGCCAGGAAAAUCCGGAUGCUGCAAAACCUAAAGAGAGACAGGCACCUCUUGGAGUGCUUUACAACCCAUUUGCUCAGCUCAGAGGGGCACGAGCUGCAGCACAGCAAAGAACAGGGAUCUUGAUGUCUCUCUUGGAUCAGAUACAGACAGUAGCCUGUCUGGUUACAGAGAGCACUUUCUUUGAUUAAAAGCUAAUAAAUAUUCAUCCCUUUCCUCCCCUGCCAUCCCUCCCAAAUCCCCAGAGACAACACUUAGACAAGCAAAACUGGUUCAUUUGUGAUGUAUUCCAGUGCGUUGCUCCAAAACACUUGGAAUCCUUCCAGAUAACAGUGUGUGGCUGCAGGGGCUAUGGAUCACCAAGGAAAGGGCCAAUACUUUGCAUUCACUUAAAACAAGGCUCAGGUCAUAAAGGACAUGCUUGUUAUUAAUGGUGGGUGUUGGGAAGCAAAGUAUAAAGUGUACACAGAUCCUUAUCCCCAGCUAAUUCCUCGGUAAAUUGGCAGAGAUACAUCACUGCCUGCAGAGCAGGAGACAGAGAGGAAUUGGAUGCUAAGGACAGCUCAGUUUCCCAGGAAUACAGAUGUGCCAUCAGCUGAUGAAAACUACGGUGAGGAGCAAGGGGAGAAGAUACAUCAGUGGUGAAGGCUGUCUCCUUUUAAGGCAAGGAAAACUAAACUCUCACCAGGAAAGAGCAGAUCCAAACAGAUGGAGAGAUGGUGGCCAGCUGAGCUGAUCCUGGUGAAACACAGACUGCCAAAGCAAGCCACUGUCACCCAAGAGGAGGUCAGAGCAGCCAAGGGCUUAUUCAGCACAGAGAUAUUGCUGGACAAAACCAUAAAUAUGGAAUAGAUGCAGUACUCUGCUGUCUCAACACAGAUUUAAGCCACAGCCCUGCAGGGAAAGUCCCUUGAGGGCCCUAGACUGUGGAUGGA